rnacentral:rRNA from 1 species
UACGUAGGGGGCAAGCGUUGUCCGGAUUUAUUGGGCGUAAAGAGCGUGUAGGCGGUUCGGUAGGUCCGUUGUGAAAACUCGAGGCUCAACCUCGAGACGCCGAUGGAAACCAUCGAACUAGAGUCCGGAAGAGGAGAGUGGAAUUCCUGGUGUAGCGGUGAAAUGCGCAGAUAUCAGGAGGAACACCGGUGGCGAAGGCGGAUCUCUGGGCCUUACCUGACGCUCAGGUGCGAAAGCUAGGGGAGCGAACAGG